AACGGAAAGGCCCUGCUUGCAGGGUACUCGAGUGGCGAACGGGUGAGUAACACGUGGGUGAUCUGCCCUGCACUUCGGGAUAAGCUUGGGAAACUGGGUCUAAUACCGGAUAGGAGCCAUCUUUAGUGUGGUGGUUGGAAAGUUUUUUCGGUGUAAGAUGAGCUCGCGGCCUAUCAGCUUGUUGGUGGGGUAAUGGCCUACCAAGGCGGCGACGGGUAGCCGGCCUGAGAGGGUGUACGGCCACAUUGGGACUGAGAUACGGCCCAGACUCCUACGGGAGGCAGCAGUGGGGAAUAUUGCACAAUGGGCGCAAGCCUGAUGCAGCGACGCCGCGUGGGGGAUGAAGGCCUUCGGGUUGUAAACUCCUUUCGCUAGGGACGAAGCUUUGUGUGACGGUACCUAGAUAAGAAGCACCGGCUAACUACGUGCCAGCAGCCGCGGU
rnacentral:rRNA from 1 species